UUUGCUCACACUCUAGCCUGUUCAGAAGCUGAUCCUAACGACGUCAGCAAGCUGUCGUCACCAGGAUACCAAUGAGAAGCCAGGUGGAACAGCCCCGAAGGUAUUCGUUGCAAUCCUCAAUCCCGACCACCACAUUCCGCUAAAGGUUAUAACACUCCCGAAGGAGCCACAUCCCUCCAGCCUUUUUAUGACGUUCGAAAUUGAUGUUAACCAGCUGACACGAAAGUGCACCUUUUCGUCAAGAGUUCACGCUUCGUGACGGUUUUGAGGCUCGUCGCGCCAUGUGAUCUCAAGACGAGAGGGUUGAUUUCGCGCCAGCACGACUGACUUCAAUCGUUUCCCUUUCAAUGCAUAGUGGAGGGUGAUUAACUCCUCACGCUCCACAUAAUCGCACCCAAAAGGCUGAUUACCCGCCGGUACGACUG
rnacentral:rRNA from 1 species